UUGGAGGGCAAGUCUGGUGCCAGCAGCCGCGGUAAUUCCAGCUCCAAUAGCGUAUAUUAAAGUUGUUGCAGUUAAAAAGCUCGUAGUUGAAUUUCGGGAUCAAUAUUUCGGUCAUGCCGUUGGUAUGCACUGUUAUCAUUGAUUUCUCACCUUCUAAAGAACCGUAAUGCCAUUAAUUUGGUGUUACGGGGAAUUAGGACUGUUACCUUGAAAAAAUUAGAGUGUUUAAAGCAGGCUCACGCUUGAAUACAUUAGCAUGGAAUAAUGAAAUAGGACAUCCGAUUCUAUUUUGUUGGUUUCUAGGAUCGAUGUAAUGAUUAAUAGGGAUAGUUGGG
rnacentral:ncRNA from 2 species